rnacentral:misc_RNA from 1 species
GGGAGGGGGGGUGGGUGGGGGGAACUUUGUUCACCAGUUUGAGAAAGAUGCUUCAAGUAUAUAGAAAACCAAUGAGAAUGAUAAAAUUUCAAAGAAACUAAAAUAAGAUAUUAUGGAUAGGUAUCCAUCAUAUGGAACAUUAGGCAUGCAUGCCGAUUCACAGAGCAAUCAUCAUAACAAUAUAUGAAUGGCAUCUUCUCUAAUGCAGUGUCUUGAAGGAAUCAUUCAAGUUGACAUAUAACUCAAGUGUAAAGCACAUGCAUAAUUUAUCCCAAGUUUGGCUACAAGCACUAAGAAAAUUUCAAUAAUUCAAAGGAUGAAAAAGGAAAUAAUGAAAUGUAUUAAGUCUUAACAAAAAUUAAUUAAAAUAUUGUAUUUCUAAUAGGAAGAAGACACAAGACACAAGACACACCAGUUAUGCCUUUGCCCUUUUGCACCACCUUACACCUUAACUAGGGUGGCAGGCAUGCAUGUAAGUGACUGAAUAUCUAUUCAAUCUACACAACAUUCAUCAAUUGCCAAACAUAUCCGAAAUCCAUGCCAAUUUUGCACGACUUUGCUGCAUUUAACAAACUGUGUAUCCAAAGAGCAGGAAAAGCAUAUCCCUGUCCUCAACGAUGCUAUCUUCUUAUGGUGCUCAAUUCAACUCAACUAAGUCUCAACCCCAAACUAAUUGGCAUUAAAUACAUAAAUCAUUCACUUUCACUCAGCCCAUUUUAGGGAUAAACUUUAAUGCUCAUUCUUUAUGAUAGAUUAUAAAAUUUUUCUUAAUGAAUAGGGCAAAUUUUAUUUUUUCACUAAGACAUGGACAAGUAGCUAAACGUGAACAAAAACAAAGAAUUGAUACAUUCUUAGUUAAUGUAUUUACUAUGAUCUUCUCACAAACCAAAAAUAUCUCCAAAAAUCGAGAGAAAUCACAGAUAGAAAGCACUUACCAAGUGAAUGACAUCAAUG